rfam:Gossypium raimondii Chr05_contig_1355, whole genome shotgun sequence.
UAUUAAAAAUUUCAUCCAUUUGUUUUGUUAAAAACUAGCAUGGUUGAUGAAAUAACCAGCCUCUUUCAACCUCAUGUUUUAACGGUAGAAAUGAAUGAAUUUGUUAACA